rnacentral:rRNA from 1 species
GACAGAGGUUGCAAACGUUGCUCGGAAUCACUGGGCGUAAAGCGCACGUAGGCGGCUUUUUAAGUCAGGGGUGAAAUCCUGGAGCUCAACUCCAGAACUGCCUUUGAUACUGAGAAGCUUGAGUCCGGGAGAGGUGAGUGGAACUGCGAGUGUAGAGGUGAAAAUUCGUAGAUAUUCGCAAGAACACCAGUGGCGAAGGCGGCUCACUGGCCCGGUACUGACGCUGAGGUGCGAAAGCGUGGGGAGCAAACAGGG